AGAGGCUUUUUUUAAUAGAGAUUGAAAGAAUUGCUCUGCACUUGGUUAUUCGAAUGCUGAUCUUUGAACUGCCCAAGACAGAAGGGAGUUAAAGAACAGCAGUGAAGAAGAAAGUCAACUGAAAGGGAGCCAAUAUUGGUUGGAUAUCUCCUAUGGUGCAGGCAUUGUAAAAAAUUGCAUUCUGCGGACAGAGAGAUCUGCUGGGAAACCACAGACCAACACCCCAGGCACUAAACAGUACAGUCCUAUUCCACAGCCUGCUCAGACCCUGCUCCUGCUGUUGUCCAUGUGUGAGACCCAGCCUCGCACUCCCUUGACCAUGACGUGAGUUAUUGACUGCUCAUCACUCUGGGGCCGGUAGGACUCUGCCUGUGGAUAUUUCCUCGUGUUGUCAGGUGAUUGUGAAUUACAUGCUGACAUAACCCUAAAGUGGAUCACGUCACUAUGAAACCAUCACUUGGCAGUGGCUCUGAAGAGCAGAGGGGAAGAGAAUUCCAUCAAACAGGAAGACUUUUGCACCAGACAUCUGUCAUUCACUCUACGUGAAAGAAGAUAUGGCUAGUGAUAAAGAUCUUACUCAACUGUGGGCAGUGGUAAAUGUUUGGAAGAAAUGCAACUGGAAAACUGACGACGACUUAUAUAAAUGGACCUCUCAAAAUGGUAAUGAAUGGAGAUAUCUGUAUCCUGUAGCAAUAUUCACCAAAAGACAUCUUCCAUGAAUGAGAUUUUUAAUAAAUGAGAUGCAAAAAAUGACAAGCACUAUGUAUGUUCAAUGGAUUAAUGAACAACAGGACAAAGGUAAUAGGGAUGGAGAUUUAUGCGUGGGAUCAACAGACAUAGGUUACCUCUUGAUAGGAGUUUUCUGGCUACUACCAUAGUCGCAUUCCCAACCUCCCAGUAGCAGAAGGCAGUGCUGAACCUUUGAUACACCAUCCUUCUUCAGGGCAGGAUAGAACCAGUUACUUGGGGACAAGAUAAUUACAUUGGAUCUCUUCAAUCAUGGAAAUGGCUGCAAUCUGUCCUCACUGGAGUAGAUUCUUAUUCUGGGUAUAGAUUUGCCUUCUCUGUCCCAAACACCUCUACCGGCACUUACUGCAUGCUUUGUUUGCAAUCAAGAUGUCCCCUACAACACUGCCUUUGACCAGUGUACUUAUUUAACAGCAAAAUAAGUGAGGCAAUGUACUUACACCCUGGA